GAAAGCUCUAUAGACAGCAAAAAACUCAAGUAAGCUUGCUAAUUAUGCUAUGAAAUCAAUAAUAAAGUAGUUACACAGCUAACAAUGCUUAAAAAUACUAAAUGGCUAUGGAAAUGACAAAUCCGACACCUAUAUUUCAAAAUAAGUUACACGCACAUGCAGAAUCAAUAUAUAUGCUUCUGAGAGUUUACGUGCUUUCUCUAAUAAAAAUGAGAUACUUCUCGCAAAUAUGCAAAGUUAAAAGCAAGAUAGCAAUACAGAAUAUGGAAAAGCUAAAGAAAAAAUAGGCAUCCUAUGCUAAAUUGUCCAACAACAAAUGGACAAUAUACACAAAAAUAAACACACAAGAACUUGUAGCAAUAAAACUAAAGUACCUUCCCAAGCAUCAUA
rnacentral:misc_RNA from 1 species